GCGAUGCUCUACCUCUGAGCUAAGUGGGC
rnacentral:tRNA from 1 species